CUUCUUGAGGGCAGAGGCUGCAUCAUAUUUACCUUUGUGAGCUCAGCCUCUAGCUCAGUGGUUGGCACAUAGGAAGUACUUGGUAAAUAUUUCAUGAUUAAGUGAAUGAAUGAGUGAAUUCUGUCCCCUCCAUCUGUACCAAUCAUUUAUCUCCUGUUUUGUCAACUGUUUCUUAUUUUGAUUUUAUUUUUAAGUAAUCUCUACACCCAACAUGGGACUCAAACUUACAGCCCUGAGAUUAAGAGUCACAUGGUCUACUGAUUGAGCCAGCCAGGUACCCCUAAUUUUUUUUCUAUUGUAAGUACUAGAGAAUCUUAUAUAAUUUCUUCUUCCCUACUGUUGCUACCAUUAUUUUUUAAAUCAAAUUUGCUACA
rnacentral:lncRNA from 1 species